GCUAGUUAGUGAGCACCUUGCAGACACACAGGAUGUACUUCUCCAAGAUGGUGCAAUGGAGCAGAAACAGCUCAUGUCCCUAAUAAGAAGCCACGAGGGACCUCAUUGCUUAUUGAAGAGUCUUGCAGCAUACUUUGUUCGUUGGUCUUUUCUUAAUGGUUGGCUAUUUCUCCUCCAAUUCAAGGUAAGCAGAUAACUUGUUAUGAUUACUUAAAUUAAAGAGAAGAGGCCAAAGAGGAGAAAUGGGAGAUGAGGAGAAAGAAGAGUUGGGGGAGAUGGAGGGAUGGAAAGAAAGAAAGAGGAGAAGAAAAGAGGAUAAAGAAAAUGUGGAAUAAGAAGGGGAAGAAGAGGAGGAGAGGGAGGAGAUAGGGGGGUGAAGAAAGUGAGGAAGAGGAGGAGGACAAGGAGGAGGAUAGAAAGAAGGAGGAGGAAGAAGGAAGGAGAGAGGAGGUAGAGAAGGAGAAGGAGUUUGUCCCUUUACCCUCUCCAAGUUGAGAUCCCUACUUUCAGCUGAUCUCUCUAAACACAGUCAUUAGUCAAUUGGUUUUAACAUGGGCAUAAAGAUUGAUAUCUACCAUGGUGACAAAGAAGAAAUCCUUUAAUUCACACAAAUUAUAAGCUGAUGACUUGAUUAAGAAGCCUCAUUGUUUCAACUUUGGGAAAGUGAAGUGUUUUUUGAACUACUAACGUGAAAUGUAAGUCACAGUUGGUGACUCUCAUCUCUCUCUUGCUCUUUUCUUGCUUUCUCCCUUUGUCUUUACCAAAACAUUGCAACUAUUAGGUACCAUUCAGAGUCAAUGCGGACCUGAACACACAACUGGCCACGGAGGGAGGCCCUUCAUAAACAGAUCUUGCUGAGUUUAAUCAGAAUCUGCCUCAUGCACAUAGACACAGAUCCUCUUAGAGAUGAAAAGGUUGUCUGUGCAUACUUACAUCAGGGUGUGGCUACACAUUGAAAUUCACUGGUCUUGAGAUCUUUCUGGUCCUAUAGGGUACUGAUGUAUGUAUAUCCUGGUCUAUUAAUCACACAUGCAAAAAGGAAUUUUAGCCUGCAGAGUUGGCAUUUCUUUUUAAGUUUGUUCUUGUUGUUUUUGGUUUUUUAACCAUGAUAAAAAACAUAAUGGAAGAAAUCACUAAGGUAUUAACAUCAACAGUCAAGAUGAUAAUCUGGUAAGUAUGCAAUAACAGCAGUAGCAGAGGAAGAAGGCUGGUGGUCACUCAUAGAACAAAGCAGGCGCCCUCAGGUGCAAGCCCUCUUUGCACUCUCCACAGUCUAUGGGAAGGAGAUGGGAAGGGAAUUGCACAUAAGCCAGACGAUUUCCAGGAAAACAGGCUUAACAGUUUGUAAAUAUAUAAAGCCUUUUGAGGACACAAAAUAAAGUGUGGUCUUUAAAGAAAAUAGGCUUAGUUACAGGAUGGGCAGACAGUGUUUUGAACACGGUUGGAUCAAAUGGUGAAGACCAUAUUUCAAAGAUGCAACUUCUGCGUGUUUAUGUCUAAGCAGCUUCUGGUCUUUAAAACUGUCUUUCAUACAAAUGUGAGAGAUGACAAACUUUAUUGGGGGUCCUGAAGCUUUUAGCCACCCACUGAUCUAAGUCAUUCUUGAACACGAUUAUGAGUGUUUUCAUACAUAUGUGAUGCAUUGAGUAACUGAAUGGAUCCCAUCUGGGAGAUAUAUAAAGUGGACACUGAAGUGACUCAUCAGGCAGCUGCAGAGAAUACACAGAUGAGAAUGGCAGGGAACUCCACCAUGAAGAUGCUGAGCAUCAUCCACACCAUUUCCAGAAGAUGGAAAAAGCCACAUGACUGUGGAACAGUAAGUGUCCCUUUUGAAAUGUACAUGUUACAAAAAACAUAAAAAGAAAAUCCUUUUAAAAACUCAGUGAAUUUGAGACUGUUAUAAUCAGAAAUAAUUAGAAUACAAAAUGCAGCAGCAUUUUAAGGGAUUCACCAAUUGACGGUUACUUAUAUUUUAUUUUGUUUCUCAGCCACAAAAUUGAGGAAGAGUUUGAAGCUCACGGCUGCCAGAGUGAAACCUUGGGCUCUGGUAUUAGCUGCCUUGUACAUGGCUGAUUGGAACACAAAGGAAAAUAAUCUUGUAAGUUGUUGAUGAAAACAAGACUACUUGAAAUUUUAAUAUGAAAAACAUCCUUCAUUGUCUGGCCUAUCAAAUAUUUAAUGGUUCUAAACUUCAAGUUAUUCUGAGAACAAGAUAGGAUAAUAAUGUAUAAGUCACAAAAUUAAAAUUGUCAAGUGGGUGAUGUAUGAUGAAGUGUAUAAGCACAUGCACAGAAAAAAAUUAUACAACUUAAUUGACAUUAAUAAAUAAAUGAGGAGUUCCAGAAGAGUCUUUGUUGGCCUGUGACUAUGUUAGUCAACCUGAAAUCAAUCAAAAGGGCAACUGGACAUUCCAAUCUCUGGUGGGGGUUAGGGGCUUGUUAAUAGCAAGCAGCUAGCAGUAGACACAGGGAAGAACACACACAUACGU
rnacentral:lncRNA from 1 species